rnacentral:rRNA from 1 species
UAUAAAAUUAAAUUAUUAAAUUUAUUUUAAAUAAUUUUUAUGUUAAAAAUAUUUAUAAUAUUUUUUAGUAUAUUAAUAGAAAAAAUAUUUUUUAUUAUAGUAAAAUAGUAUUGUGAAAGAAUGUUGAAAUAGUUUGAAAAUUAUUUAAUUUUAAAGAAGAUUUUAUUUAUUGUACCUUGUGUAUCAGGGUUUAUUAAAUAAAUUUUAAAAAUUAUUAAAUUUCUCGAUUUUAAAAGAGUUAAUAUAUUAUUAAAUUUAAUGUUAUAAAAUUAUUUUAAAUAAUAUAUUGGAAGUGAUAAGUGUUUCGGUUUUAAAGGUAUCUAGUUUUUUAAGAAAUAAAUUUAAUUUAUUAAAUUAUUAUUAUUAAUUUUAUUGUUAAAUUAAUAAUUAUUAAUUUUAAAUAUUUUAUGGGAUAAGCUGUAAAAUAAAUUAUUAAAAAUAUUUAUUUAAUUUAAUAAAUUUAAGCUUAGAAGUAGCUAUUAUUUUGAAUAUUGUUAUAAUUUAUAUUAUAAAAUAAAUUAUUUAUUAAGUUUUAAUUAGUUUAUUAAAAUAUUUAUUUUAAUUAAAAAAAUAAAGUAAUAAUGAUAAAAUUAGUAUAUUUAUUGUAUAAAUUAUUUAUAUUUGAUAAGUUAGUAUAAAGAAUUCGGCAAAUUAAUAUUCGCCUGUUUAACAAAAACAUCUCUUUUUGAAUAUUAAUAAAAAGUUUAACCUGCCCACUGAUAAAAUUAAAUGGCCGCAGUAUAUUAACUGUGCAAAGGUAGCAUAAUCAUUAGUCUUUUAAUUGAAGGCUGGAAUGAAUGGUUGGACGAAAUAUUGACUGUUUCAUAUUAAUUUUUAAUGGAAUUUUAUUUUUUAGUCAAAAAGCUAAAAUAUUAUUAAAAGACGAGAAGACCCUAUAAAUCUUUAUAUUUAAUUAAUUUAUGUUAAUUAGAAAUUAAUUUAUAUCUAUUAAUUUAAAUAUUUUAUUGGGGUGAUAUUAAAAUUUAAUUAACUUUUAAUUUUAUUUAACAUUAAUUUAUGAUUAAUUGAUCCUUUAAUAUUGAUUAAAAGAAUAAGUUACUUUAGGGAUAACAGCGUAAUUUUUUUGGAGAGUUCAUAUUGAUAAAAAAUAUUGCGACCUCGAUGUUGGAUUAAGAGAUAAAUUUAGGUGUAGAAGCUUAAAAAUUAAGUCUGUUCGACUUUUAAUUUCUUACAUGAUCUGAGUUCAAACCGGUGUAAGCCAGGUUGGUUUCUAUCUUUAAUAAAUUAAAAUAUUUUAGUACGAAAGGAUCAAAUAUUUAAUAUUUAAUUAUUUAAUUUAUGAAUAUUAUUAAU